rnacentral:lncRNA from 1 species
AUCAAUAUUUUAUAUAUUCCUGUAACACUAAUAAACAGUUCUUAGUUGUACCCAAGACAAAGUGAACUUUUCCCACCUGUUUUUACCUGAAACACAAAGCUCAUGGUUAUACCAAUUUAAACUUUAUGUUUAUAAUUAUGCCAUUAAAUUCAUCUUUGCACUACGGCCAAAGACAUACAACUGUAAAACUAAUAAUCAACAGUUCAUCUUUGCACUACGGGCCAAAGAUAUAAAACCAAUAAUCAACAGUCCAUCUUUGCACUACGGGCCAAAGAUAUACAACUAUAAAACCAAUGGUCAUGAUCAUACCAAUUAACAAUUCAUCUUUGCACCCUUGCCCGAAGAGAACUCAUGGUCAUGAUCAUACCAAUCAACAUUCCAUCUUUGCACCCCUGGCCGAAGAGAAAUUUCACCACAAUGAUUAUAACAAUGAUAUAUAUGAUGAAUGGACAGAAAUAAUCAGAAUAAUAAGAUAAAAUAGAUCUUAGUGAUUUUUAACUUAACUAUCCAGAGUCCAAAUUGGCAAUAUGAUAUUCAGAAAAUCGAUUAAAAUUCUUGAUAGAAUAUAAAGUUCAAGUGAAUGUAAAGUUCC